rnacentral:rRNA from 1 species
CCCGCGGCGACCGGCGCACGGGUGAGUAACACGUAUGAAACCUGCCCGUAGCAGGGGGAUAAGCGGAAGAAAUUCCGUCUAAUACCGCGUAACAACCCAUGGAGGCAUCUCUGUGGGUUUAAAGGAAGCGAUUCCGGCUACGGAUGGUCAUGCGUCGCAUUAGCUUGUUGGCGGGGUAACGGCCCACCAAGGCGACGAUGCGUAGGGGUUCUGAGAGGAAGGUCCCCCACACUGGUACUGAGACACGGACCAGACUCCUACGGAAGGCAGCAG